GAUGAACGCUGGCGGCGUGCUUAACACAUGCAAGUCGAACGGGAAACCUUUUAAUGAAGCUUCGGCAGAUUUAGCUGGUUUCUAGUGGCGGACGGGUGAGUAACGCGUGGGUAACCUGCCUUAUACAGGGGGAUAACAGUCAGAAAUGACUGCUAAUACCGCAUAAGCGCACAGGACCGCAUGGUCCGGUGUGAAAAACUCCGGUGGUAUAAGAUGGACCCGCGUUGGAUUAGCUUGUUGGUGGGGUAACGGCCCACCAAGGCGACGAUCCAUAGCCGGCCUGAGAGGGUGAACGGCCACAUUGGGACUGAGACACGGCCCAGACUCCUACGGGAGGCAGCAGUGGGGAAUAUUGCACAAUGGGGGAAACCCUGAUGCAGCGACGCCGCGUGAAGGAAGAAGUAUCUCGGUAUGUAAACUUCUAUCAGCAGGGAAGAUAGUGACGGUACCUGACUAAGAAGCCCCGGUUAACUACGUG
rnacentral:rRNA from 1 species